rnacentral:rRNA from 1 species
UGAGGAAUAUUGGACAAUGGGCGCAAGCCUGAUCCAGCCAUGCCGCGUGCAGGAAGAAGCAUCUAUGGUGUGUAAACUGCUUUUGUACGGGAAGAAACACUCCUUCGUGAAGGAGCUCGACGGUACCGUAAGAAUAAGGAUCGGCUAACUCCGUGCCAGCAGCCGCGGUAAUACGGAGGAUUCAAGCGUUAUCCGGAAUCAUUGGGUUUAAAGGGUCCGUAGGCGGUUUAGUAAGUCAGUGGUGAAAGCCCAUCGCUCAACGAUGGAACGGCCAUUGAUACUGCUAGACUUGAAUUAUUAGGAAGUAACUAGAAUAUGUAGUGUAGCGGUGAAAUGCUUAGAUAUUACAUGGAAUACCAAUAGCGAAGACAGGUUACUACUAAUGGAUUGACGCUGAUGGACGAAAGCGUGGGGAGCAAAC